rnacentral:rRNA from 1 species
CAUCCCGACUUACCAACCCGAUGCAAACUGCGAAUACCGAAGAAUGUUAUCACGGGAGACACACGGCGGGUGCUAACGUCCGUCGUGAAGAGGGAAACAACCCAGACCGCCAGCUAAGGUCCCAAAGUCACAGUUAAGUGGGAAACGAUGUGGGAAGGCUCAGACAGCCAGGAUGUUGGCUUAGAAGCAGCCAUCAUUUAAAGAAAGCGUAAUAGCUCACUGGUCGAGUCGGCCUGCGCGGAAGAUGUAACGGGGCUAAACUGUGCACCGAAGCUGCGGCAGCGACACUCUGUGUUGUUGGGUAGGGGAGCGUUCUGUAAGCCUGCGAAGGUGUCUCGUGAGGGAUGCUGGAGGUAUCAGAAGUGCGAAUGCUGACAUAAGUAACGAUAAUGCGGGUGAAAAACCCGCACGCCGGAAGACCAAGGGUUCCUGUCCAACGUUAAUCGGGGCAGGGUGAGUCGACCCCUAAGGCGAGGCCGAAAGGCGUAGUCGAUGGGAAACAGGUUAAUAUUCCUGUACUUGGUGUUACUGCGAAGGGGGGACGGAGAAGGCUAUGUUAGCCGGGCGACGGUUGUCCCGGUUUAAGCAUGUAGGCGGGUGUUUUAGGUAAAUCCGGAACGCUACUAACGCUGAGGUGUGAUGACGAGGCACUACGGUGCUGAAG